CAGCAGUCGCCACGGUAAUACGAAGGGGGCUAGCGUUGUUCGGAAUCACUGGGCGUAAAGCGCACGUAGACGGAUACUUAAGUCAGGGGUGAAAUCCCGGGGCUCAACCUCGGAACUGCCUUUGAUACUGGGUAUCUUGAGUCCGGGAGAGGUUGGUGGAACUCCGAGUGUAGAGGUGAAAUUCGUAGAUAUUCGGAAGAACACCAGUGGCGAAGGCGGCCAACUGGCCCGGUACUGACGCUGAGGUGCGAAAGCGUGGGGAGCAAACAGGAUUAGAUACCCCGGUAGUCCCUGUCUCUUAUAC
rnacentral:rRNA from 1 species